rnacentral:rRNA from 1 species
UACGUAGGGUGCGAGCGUUAAUCGGAAUUACUGGGCGUAAAGCGUGCGCAGGCGGUUGUGGGAGACAGGUGUGAAAACCCCGGGCUUAACCUGGGAACUGCGCUUGUGACUGCACGACUCGAGUGUGGCAGAGGGGGGUGGAAUUCCACGUGUAGCAGUGAAAUGCGUAGAGAUGUGGAGGAACACCGAUGGCGAAGGCAGCCCCCUGGGUUAACACUGGCGCUCAUGCACGAAAGCGUGGGUAGCAAACAGG